rnacentral:rRNA from 1 species
AGCAGCCGCGGUAAUUCCAGCUCCAAUAGCGUAUAUUAAAGUUGUUGCAGUUAAAAAGCUCGUAGUUGAAUUUCGGGGUCAGUAGGUUGGUCGUGCCACUGGUAUGCACUGGCCUCACUGAUUCCUCCCUCUUGUAGAACCGUAAUGCCAUUAAGUUGGUGUUGCGGGGAAACAGGACUGUUACUUUGAAAAAAUUAGAGUGUUUAAAGCAGGCUAACGCUUGAAUACAUUAGCAUGGAAUAAUGAAAUAGGACGAUCGAUCCUAUUUUGUUGGUUUCUAGGAUUGACGUAAUGAUUAAUAGGGAUAGUUGGGGGCAUUAGUAUUCAAUUGUCAGAGGUGAAAUUCUUGGAUUUAUUGAAGACUAACUACUGCGAAAGCAUUUGCCAAGGAUGUUUUCAUUAAUUAAGAACGAAGUUAGGGGAUCGAAGACGAUCAGAUACCGUCGUAGUCUUAACCAUAAACUAUGCCGACUAGGGAUCGGAUGAUGUUAAUUUUUAAUGACUCAUUCGGCGCCUUACG